UCCAGACUCCUACGGGAGGCAGCAGUGGGGGAUAUUGCACAAUGGGGGAAACCCUGAUGCAGCGACGCCGCGUGAGUGAAGAAGUAAUUCGUUACGUAAAGCUCUAUCAGCAGGGAAGAAAAUGACGAUACCUGACUAAGAAGCCCCGGCUAACUACGUGCCAGCAGCCGCGGUAAUACGUAGGGGGCAAGCGUUAUCCGGAUUUAUUGGGUUUAAAGGGUGCGCAGGCGGAUUUUUAAGUCAGCGGUCAAAUCGUGGGGCUCAACCCCAUCCAGCCGUUGAAACUGGGGAUCUAGAGUGUGCGAGAGGUAUGCGGAAUGCGUGGUGUAGCGGUGAAAUGCAUAGAUAUCACGCAGAACCCCGAUUGCGAAGGCAGCAUACCGGUGCACAACUGACGCUCAGGCACGAAAGCGUGGGUAUCGAACAGGAUUAGAUACCCCAGUAAU
rnacentral:rRNA from 1 species